rnacentral:misc_RNA from 1 species
GAUGAAGUACGUAGCGAAAUGCGAUAAGUAAUGUGAAUUGCAGAAUUCAGUGAAUCAUCGAAUCUUUGAACGCACAUUGCGCCCUCUGGUAUUCCGGGGGGCAUGCCUGUUCGAGCGUCAUUAUAACCACUCAAGCUCUCGCUUGGUAUUGGAGUUCGCGAUCUCGCGGCUCCUAAAAUCAGUGGCGGUGCCUGUCGGCUCUACGCGUAGUAAUACUCCUCGCGAUUGAGUCCGGUAGGUUUACUUGCCAGCAACCCCCAAUUUUUACAGGUUGACCUCGGAUCAGGUAGGGAUACCCGCUGAACUUAAGCAUAUCAAUAAGCGGAGGA